UACAGAGGGCUCAAGCGUUGUUCGGAUUCAUUGGGCGUAAAGGGUGCGUAGGCGGCGAGGCAAGUCUGGUGUGAAAUCCCGGGGCUCAACCCCGGAACUGCACUGGAUACUGCUUUGCUAGAGUACUGGAGAGGGAACUGGAAUUUACGGUGUAGCAGUGAAAUGCGUAGAUAUCGUAAGGAAGACCAGCGGCGAAGGCGAGUUCCUGGACAGUUACUGACGCUGAGGCACGAAGGCCAGGGGAGCAAACGGG
rnacentral:rRNA from 1 species